AGAGUUUGAUCCUGGCUCAGAAUGAACGCUGGCGGCGUGCUUAGCACAUGCAAGUCGCACGAGAACGCUUCUGCUUGCAGGGGCUAGUAAAGUGGCGCACGGGUGGGUAACGCGUGGGUAAUCUACCCUUGGAUUCGGGAUAACCCUUCGAAAGGAGUGCUAAUACCGGAUGAAGUCAUUUAGGCUGUGGUUUAGAUGAUGAAAGGUGGCCUCUCCGAGGAAGCUACCGUUUGGGGAUGAGCCCGCGUACCAUUAGCUUGUUGGUGGGGUAACGGCCUACCAAGGCGACGAUGGUUAGCUGGUCUGAGAGGAUGAUCAGCCACACUGGAACUGACACACGGUCCAGACUCCUACGGGAGGCAGCAGUGAGGAAUUUUGCGCAAUGGGGGGAACCCUGACGCAGCAACGCCGCGUGAGUGAAGAAGGCCUUCGGGUCGUAAAGCUCUGUCGAGUGGGAAGAACCUUCGUAUGUUGAAUAUACAUACGGACUGACGGUACCACAGAAGGAAGCACCGGCUAACUCCGUGCCAGCAGCCGCGGUAA
rnacentral:rRNA from 1 species